UUAUUAAAUGGAAAUCCCAUUGCAAUCUAUCAGUUUCCAGAUUAUAGCAAUACUUACGCCGAUUAGGAUAAACAUAGUAUUCUCGAAACUGUGGUGUACAGAUGGAAAAUCUCAGAACUCAGUCUGAAGCGUUCUCAUUUGUUUGUUAAUCUUAGAGCAAUGUUGUUUACUUCAAUGUUGAACAAGAGGUUCGUUUCUUACUCUCACAAUUUUCUCAUUGCAUUUCAAUCACACUCAUCUUCGAUGAUUAGGGCUUCUUUCUCUCACUCUCUGCACCCAUUUAUUCCUAAAUCAAAUGAUUUUCAUGUUAACGAUCAUGUUUCUUCAUUUCAUCGAAUGCUUCUUAUGCGUCCCACCCCAUCCAUUCUAGAAUUUAAUAAGAUUUUAGGUUCCCUUGUUAAGACCAACAACAACCAUUACACCGCUGCCAUUUCCCUUUCUCAUCAAUUGGAACUCAACGGAAUUACUGCUGAUACUGUUACUUUCAACAUCUUGAUCAAUUGUUACUGCCACUUAGGUGAGAUGACUUUUGCCUUUUCUAUAUUUGCUAAGAUUCUCAAAUUAGGUCAUCACCCCACAACCAUAACCUUCAAUACACUUAUCAAUGGUAUGUGUCUUAACGGUAAGGUCAAGGAAGCUUUGCACUUUCACGAUCAUAUGCUUGCACAUGGAUUUCACUUGAACCAAGUUACUUAUGCUAUAUUGAUCAAUGGCUUGUGUAAAAUGGGGAAAACAACAGAAGCCUUACAAUUGUUAAGAAAGAUUGAUGGGAAAUUGGUUAACAUUAAUGUGGUAAUGCACAACACAAUUAUUGAUAGUUUGUGUAAAGAGAAAUUGGUGACCGAGGCUUAUGAGUUAUAUUCUCAAAUGAUUGUAAAGAAAAUUUCUCCUGAUGUUGUCACUUUCAAUUCUUUAAUCUAUGGAUUUUGCAUUGUUGGUCAAUUGAUAGAAGCAUUUGGUUUGUUCCAUGAAAUGGUAUUGAAAAACAUCAACCCAAAUGUGUAUACUUUUAAUAUAUUGGUUGAUGCUCUUUGUAAGGAAGGAAAUCUGAAAGGAGCUAAGAAUCUGUUAGCCGUGAUGAUGAAAGAAGGUGUAAUACCGAAUGUUGUUACCUACAGUUCAAUAAUGGAUGGAUAUUGCCUAGUUAAUGAAGUGAAUAAGGCCAAACAUGUUUUAAGCACUAUUACUCGAAUGGGAGUGCCUCCUGAUGCUCAGAGCUAUAAUAUCAUGAUUAAUGGGUUCUGUAAGAUUAAAAUGAUCAAUGAAGCCUUCAGUCUCUUUAAUGAAAUGCGUUGCCGAGGAAUUUCUCCCAAUACAGUAACUUACAGUUCUCUCAUUGAUGGUUUGUGUAAAUUAGGUAGAAUCUCCUAUGCUUGGGAGUUUGUUGAUGAGAUGCGUGAUAAUGGUCAACCACCUGACAUAUGCACUUACAAUUCUUUAAUAGAUGCAUUAUGCAAAAACCAUCAUGUUGACAAGGCUAUUGUAUUAGUCAAGAAAAUUAAAGACCAAGGCAUUCAACUAAAUAUGUACACAUACAAUAUACUUAUCGAUGGACUAUGCAAACAAGGAAGGCUUAAGGAUGCACAAGUGAUUUUUCAGGAUCUUUUGAUUAAAGGCUACAAUUUAACAGUCUGGACAUAUACUAUUAUGAUCAAUGGUCUUUGUUUAGAGGGUUUGCUUAAUGAAGCUGAGACCCUGCUGUCAAAAAUGGAAGACAAUGGAUGUGUUCCUGAUGCUGUAACUUGUGAAACAAUUAUUCGCGCUCUCUUUGAAAAUGAUAAGAACGAAAGGGCAGAGAAACUACUACGUGAAAUGAUUGCUAGAGGUCUACUGUAAGAGAAGACUAGUUAAGAGGAUGAUGGACUACACAAUGUACUCACUAUCAAUUUGGUUUCUCUUGAAAUCCAUGUGUUGUUAUGUUCAUUUUGAUAUUUUAACCAUACCAACGGUUUAUUAAUUCUGAGAGUUCAACAAUGUAUUUUGAUGUGCUAUGAUAUCAGUUAGAAAUUUGCUGAGAGAUUAUUUAAAAAAGUGGGAAUUUGAAAUGAACUUCUCAUCAGUUUUUUGUAAUCAAUUUAUAGCACACUAUUCUUUCUUUCAGUUUUUCGGACUGCCUUACUGAAAAACUGAAAGUCAGAAGGUUUGGCAGAUUUUAUAGUUUCCAGUUAUAUUAACAAAGUUGUCUAGUAACUUGAUGCAAUUUUCAGCAAAGAAAUAUUCAGUUGUAUCAAAUUGCAAGUUUAAAAGAAUUUUAUUAGAGAUUGACCACAAGGAACAAUAGAUUUGAUAGAAGAAUCAGUUGAUCAUUGAAUUCAAGGUGACAAAAAUAAUAUACAGCUUCAUAAUUUGUUCCUGGAUUCAUGUGCAACAUUUUUUGGAUGGCUGUCAAGCCUGACAUGGACAACCUAUGAAGUCGGAAGUAAUUUUUGAGAAAAUAGAAUAAUUGAAUGUAGUUAUAUGUUUUAGUGUUAUGUUGGAGACUAGACAGACACACCUUCAAUCUGAAGUGUCAGUGUUAGCAUAAUACACAUGUGAUUGUGAUACGAUGCUCGGCAGUCUGAAUAUGCAGCCGGUGGACCUGAUGAUCAGAAGAUACACUUACAUAAAAUGUGGAAUCUAAUUGGACAAGAGGAUUAUUAUACAUCUCAUAGACUAGAAAGUGAACUUGGAAUGGCUAAGCUGUGCAUGACUGCAUUCAUAUUGCAGCAUCUCCCACAACAGAACCUUGGCCCUUUUCCUAAACAUGUAUGUACUUGCUUUCAUAUAUUUAUUUCACACUUAAUGCAUUUCUAUCUUUCUCUUUUAGAUAA